rnacentral:rRNA from 1 species
CCUACGGGAGGCUGCAGUGGGGAAUAUUGGGCAAUGGGCGCAAGCCUGACCCAGCAAUGCCGCGUGAAGGAAGAAGGCUUUCGGGUUGUAAACUUCUUUGACAGGGGAAGAGCAGAAGACGGUACCCUGAAAACAAGCCACGGCUAACUACGGGCCAGCAGCAGGGGUAAUACGGAGGUGGCAAGCGGUGUCCCGAUUUACUGGGGGGAAAGGGCGGGUAGCCGGGAAGGCAAGUCAUAUGUGAAAGCUGAAGGCUCAACCUCCAAAUUGCAUUUGAAACUGGUUUUCUUGAGUACUGGAGAGGCAGACGGAAUUCCUUGUGUAGCGGUAAAAUGCGUAGAUAUAAGGAGGAACACCAGUGGCGAAGGCGGUCUGCUGGACAGCAACUGACGGUGAGGCGCGAAAGCGUGGGGAGCAAACAGGAUUAGAUACCCGUGUAGUC